UACGUAAGGACCGAGCGUUGUCCGGAAUCAUUGGGCGUAAAGGGUACGUAGGUGGUUAGAAAAGUUAGAAGUGAAAGGCUAUAGCUCAACUAUAGUAAGCUUUUAAAACUGCUCAUCUUGAGGUAUGGAAGGGAAAGUGGAAUUCCUAGUGUAGCGGUGAAAUGCGCAGAUAUUAGGAGGAAUACCGGUGGCGAAGGCGACUUUCUGGCCAUAAACUGACGCUGAGGUACGAAAGCGUGGGUAGCAAACAGG
rnacentral:rRNA from 1 species